UACGUAGGGUGCAAGCGUUGUCCGGAAUUAUUGGGCGUAAAGAGCUCGUAGGCGGCUUGUCACGUCGACUGUGAAAACCCGGGGCUCAACUCCGGGCCUGCAGUCGAUACGGGCUGGCUUGAGUGCGGUAGGGGAGACUGGAAUUCCUGGUGUAGCGGUGAAAUGCGCAGAUAUCAGGAGGAACACCGGUGGCGAAGGCGGCUUGCUGGGCCUUACCUGACGCUGAGGAGCGAAAGCGUGGGGAGCGAACAGG
rnacentral:rRNA from 1 species